UACGAAGGGGGCUAGCGUUGUUCGGAUUUACUGGGCGUAAAGCGCACGUAGGCGGAUUGUUAAGUCAGGGGUGAAAUCCUGGAGCUCAACUCCAGAAUUGCCUUUGAUACUGGCUUUCUAGAGGCUGGAAGAGGUUAGUGGAAUUCCCAGUGUAGAGGUGAAAUUCGUAGAUAUUGGGAAGAACACCAGUGGCGAAGGCGGCUAACUGGUCCAGAUCUGACGCUGAGGUGCGAAAGCGUGGGGAGCAAACAGG
rnacentral:rRNA from 2 species